AUUGAACGCUGGCGGCAUGCCUUACACAUGCAAGUCGAACGGCAGCACGGGAGCAAUCCUGGUGGCGAGUGGCGAACGGGUGAGUAAUAUAUCGGAACGUGCCCAGUCGUGGGGGAUAACGCAGCGAAAGCUGUGCUAAUACCGCAUACGAUCUAUGGAUGAAAGCGGGGGAUCGCAAGACCUCGCGCGAUUGGAGCGGCCGAUAUCAGAUUAGCUAGUUGGUGAGGUAAAGGCUCACCAAGGCGACGAUCUGUAGCUGGUAUGAGAGGACGACCAGCCACACUGGAACUGAGACACGGUCCAGACUCCUACGGGGGGCAGCAGUGGGGAAUUUUGGACAAUGGGCGAAAGCCUGAUCCAGCAAUGCCGCGUGCAGGAUGAAGGCCUUCGGGUUGUAAACUGCUUUUGUACGGAACGAAACGGUGAGCUCUAAUACAGUUUGCUAAUGACGGUACCGUAAGAAUAAGCACCGGCUAACUACGUGCCAGCCGCCGCCGUAAGAC
rnacentral:rRNA from 1 species